rnacentral:rRNA from 1 species
AUUCACCUACGGGAGGCAGCAGUGGGGAAUAUUGGACAAUGGGGGGAACCCUGAUCCAGCGACGCCGCGUGAGUGAAGAAGUAUCUCGGUAUGUAAAGCUCUAUCAGCAGGGAAGAAAGAAAUGACGGUACCUGACUAAGAAGCCCCGGCUAACUACGUGCCAGCAGCCGCGGUAAUACGUAGGGGGCAAGCGUUAUCCGGAUUUACUGGGUGUAAAGGGAGCGUAGACGGCAGGGCAAGUCUGGAGUGAAAGCCCGGGGCCCAACCCCGGGACUGCUUUGGAAACUGCCAUGCUGG